UCCACCUUUUUUUCAUUCCCACCCAGCCAUCUCACUCAUCCACCCGCCUGCCGACCUCUGUCAGGUUUGACUUCUUGCAAGGGAGGAAAGGAAGGCCGAGAGACAGAAAGACUUUGCUUUCAUGAUGAGUGCAACCACAGAUGAGUCCAGCAGGGGCAGGUUGCGGUGGAAUGGCCCCAACUCAGACACCUUCAAGGUAAAGAGACAAAGAUACCAAAGAAGGCCAUGCACAGCCUACAUCGGAGAGCUGCCACGGACCCCUCCCCCAGGCCUUUGUGAGUGGAUUUAACUUUAAAAACAUCUCCCGUUAGCCUCUGAGGCUGGAAUCUGAUAGAAACUUCAGCCCAGGGCUGCAGGAAACCUGAGUGCCUGGUCUUGCUGCUUCUUUGAGAAAAAGCCACUUGCCUGCCCAGUAUGGUGGUGGUGAAGCUAAGGCCGUCGCUCGUUUUGAAAAGGCCCCUGCCUCACUGGUUUUCAGAGUUGGUCUACAAAUCCCCCAGAUGGAAAAUUUACAGCCCAGAGAAGCCAGUGUUCAAAUGCACACUGAGAAUCUAGCAAAAGCGCCCACAGACGUCCUCCUCCUCCUCCUUGGCAUCAUCAUCAUUGCAAUCCUCUAUAAAUUGCAGCACCCAUCACCAGCCCCUGGUGGCUACUCACUCACCUGCUGGUAAAUAACAGGACACGUGUGAUGACUGGUUUAUGUGCUAUUUCUGGGGCUUAUGAGCGGCCUCAGAAGACCUCACCAUCUACGUAUUGAACAGCAAAGCUCUUGUAAUUGAGAAACCAAUAUCCUCUCUGACAGCACUCAUGUUUCCAAAUGCCCAACAGAUAUUAACCUUUGAGAUCUAGGGACAAGAACUUGGAAUUCCUC
rnacentral:lncRNA from 1 species